UGAGCAAUCUGCCCUUCUCAUCGGAAUAAGCGUUGGAAACGACGUCUAAUGCCGAAUACGACCUCCUUUCGCAUGAUCGGAGGUGGAGAGCUCCGGCGGAGAAGGAUGAGCUCGCGGCCUAUCAGCUAGUUGGUGUGGGUAAUGGCCCACCAAGGCGACGACGGGUAGCCGGCCUGAGAGGGUGACCGGCCACACUGGGACUGAGACACGGCCCAGACUCCGUAGGAGG
rnacentral:rRNA from 1 species